rnacentral:lncRNA from 1 species
UUAGAAUUGUCUAGAAAACUUUUGGAUACAGAAGAUUAAGUGAAAAUGAUGCUGGAAAGAAACAAAUAGUGCCUGAUCACAAAAUAUAUAUUGACCAUGUAAAAUUCAGCAAAUGCAACAAAUCACAUGAUAAAAAUAGAUUUGCAAAUGAUCUUUUAGCUUCAUUGGUGGAAGGCAAUAGUUAUUUGAGCAGUGUCAGUUUAUCUGGCAAGUAAAGUCACAACAAAGUUGCAAAACCCAGAAUUUGUUAAUACCUUGUCAAUGGUGUAAUUGCUAGUUCAUGUGAGAUACUAGAAGUGUCGCCGAAGGAUGAGCGAACAACAAUCAAGCUUAAAUUAAACAUUGCAUCAAAAGUUAAAAAGAUUUUAUAAAUGUA